rnacentral:lncRNA from 1 species
GUGGUUUUGAUUUGUUAGAGUUCAUCGGAUUCCGGCACAGUUUAGUCGUGGUGUUUGUGGAAGCUCCUCGUGGCUAGCUUGUUUCAUCCGAUUCGCUGCCCAGGUAAAGGUGAGAAGCUCAUCCUACUUAGUUUUGUUGUUCUCAUUCUUCUCGACUUCCUAUAUGUCUCGUUAUGAUUUUUUCUGAGUAGUUGUUCCUUUUAAGAUCUCUUCGGUUAUUUAGAAAAGGUUUAGGUCCCUUAUUUUAUGUGUAAAGGUGGACUGGAUACCAAUAUUACUCUCUCUUUUAAGUGUUAAAGUCGUAUUCGUUCUGUGAUGUUCGGAAUCGGUUCGACGACUUGCUUUCCAUGGUUAAUGUCUUGAUUGCUCCUCACACUCGUAAUUCUCUAUUUGUCUAGCUUUGGCUUCUUCUUCUUUUCCAGCAUGUUGCUAGUUGUUAAGUGUUGUAUAAAGUCUAUUUGCUUGCUUCUUUGCCCCCUUCCCUUUCUUCUUUCUUCUUUUUUCUUAUUUCUAUAGGUUUAAUUCAAAUGUCUUUGAGUGUUAAAGUGUUUAUAAAAUGAUAGGUUGCUAUGAUUCUAAGGUUCUUUUCUUCAAAUAACUUUUGUCUUAAGUUUAUGAUACCGUUUUGACAUGAAUGUUGCAUUUUAACUUAGAUCAGUAGCUUGUGUUGUAGAGGAAAUGUAUUAGCUUCUUUUGGUGUUUUCUAUUGACUAAGUAUUAGUUUGAAGGUUUAUUCAAAAUUAGGCAGUUAUACUAGCUAGUUAUGGCCUAAUUAUCUUGGUUCGAAAAGUUAAGAUUAUAUAUUAAGGUGUCAUUGUUAGAAUUUUGCUUCUGUUCAGAUUCGGCUAUAGCCAUUAAUUGUCUAAGGUCAUCAAAGUCCGUCAUGUUGGCCUAGAGCUUUGUGUAAUUUCCCUCUUCGUUUUUACAAUGUUUAAAAUUAAAAAUGAUAGUGCACUGUUCCAGUUCUCUGCAUAAUGUUUCCUUUUAAAAAUUAAUGAAUGAUUACUUAUGUAUUUCUCUCUUGUUUUAUUAUUUUGUUAUACAUGUGAGCACUGUUGAGGAUUCCAUUUGGAUUCCAAUCCCACUUGCGUUUCGAAUGGGCCACGGAAGCCCAGUUGCAUCCGCUCGAGUCAGCCUCCAUUUUGCUCAGGUCCCCCGGAGUAAAUUACAGCGUAUAAAUAUGAAAAAAUGGAAUUGCAGGUCCUAAAGUCUAGGGGAUUGGAUCGUAUACAAUCUGUAUACACUCGUUAUACAGUAAUAUACAGGCCAGAUUAUCGGAAAUACAGGUUGAAAUACAUAAAACACAGGCGUACAGGUCUAAAAAUGUAGCAAAGUAUAGGUUGAAGGCAGAUACGCAGGUUUCGGAAGCAAAAAGGCCCGAAAAGGGGGCUGUAUACACUGAUAUACUUGCUAUAUACAGUGAUAUACAAUCGAAAAUGCAGUGAUAUACAUGUCAAAAAUGUGAAAAUACAAGUGAAAAGUGUGGAAACACGAAGUUCAGCCAAUAUUACAGGUCCGGAGUCCGAGGAUCAGCGAUAUACAUGGUGUAUACAUUUAAAUAUACAUUGGGUGUAUAUCGGGAUGAGUGAGAAUGAAAAAGGGGUAAAGGCCCAAGGGAAUUUCAGCAGGGUCCAAGAUUUGUGGAAUUUGGGCCUUUGGCCCAAAUUUGAUUAUUCCCUUUCCCUCUCUUAUUUAUUUUAUUGUGUUUGACUAACUUUAUUUAUUUUAUGGUGUGAUCUAAUUAACUUCCCAUAGAUAGCCAUUUCGCUUUUGUAUUCAAAAUAUAAACAUUUAUUUUAUACAUAUUUUUAUUACCUAACUUCCAUUUCA